AAACCAGGGAGCUUCCCACUACAGGGUCUGUGGGAGGCACUUUGUACAAGGACUGCUUACAAAUUCCAGGCGAGCCAGCCACGCUGCAUGAUGUUAAUCACCCGGUUUGGGCACCCGUCCGUAGCUCUUGGUUACGAAAGACGAACGUCCAGCGGGCUCGAAAGAUAUCAACGGCUGAAACAAAGAACGGAGAAGAAGCAGGGGGUUGAUGCUGCAGAAGCCCUGCUGCGUCUGCAACAGACACACACCUGCUAGUGUUACUGGAGCACCUGACAUGUCAGGCACAGAAGUUGGUGAACUUGCCCUGGUGCAAGAAAAUGCUACCAAUCAUGAGGAAACUGAAUCACUACCAGGUUGCGCUGUUGGUACCGCCUUGACCAUGUCUGACAUUUCAAACCUCCAGGCCGAAAACCACAGACAGAAUGAAGAAGUGUACAGGCUGCGAUCAGAGCUAAGCAGGCACAUACUUGACGAGGACACCUUUCGUGCAAACGAAAGAAUGGUCACAUUCUACACAGGUCUACCAAAUUUUGCGAUUUUACUUGCUGUUUUCCAUUUUUUAGAAGACAGUGUAGCGCACGGACCCUGCAACUCUCUUACUAGGUUCCAAGAGAUGAUUGUAACGCUCAUGCGAUUUAGACUCAACUCCCCACUGCAGGAUCUUGCAUAUCGGUUUUCUGUCUCACAACCAACAAUAUCAAGAAUAUUGAGCAGGUGGACUGACGCCAUGUAUGUACGCUUGAAGGGGUUAAUUUUAUGGCCUUCGCGAGAAUGUCUGCAAAAGACAAUGCCCAUGGCAUUUCGCAGCGCCUUUGGUCUUAAAGUCGCUGUGAUACUUGACUGCUUUGAGGUGUUUAUAGAUAGGCCAUCGUCGCUUGUAACACGGACAUUGA